rnacentral:rRNA from 1 species
AUUGAACGCUGGCGGCAGGCCUAACACAUGCAAGUCGAACGGUAACAGGAAGCAGCUUGCUGCUUUGCUGACGAGUGGCGGACGGGUGAGUAAUGUCUGGGAAACUGCCUGAUGGAGGGGGAUAACUACUGGAAACGGUAGCUAAUACCGCAUAACGUCGCAAGACCAAAGAGGGGGACCUUCGGGCCUCUUGCCAUCGGAUGUGCCCAGAUGGGAUUAGCUAGUAGGUGGGGUAACGGCUCACCUAGGCGACGAUCCCUAGCUGGUCUGAGAGGAUGACCAGCCACACGGGAACGGGAACACGGCCCAGCCUCCUACGGGAGGCGGCGGGGGGGAAUUUUGCACAAUGGGCGCAAGCCUGAGGCAGCCAUGCCGGGUGAAUGAAGAGGCCCUUGGGGUUUUAAAGUAUUUUCAGGGGGGAGGAAGGGAGUAAAGUUAAUCCCUUUGCUCAUUGACUUUCCCCGAAAAAGAAGCCCGGCCAACCUCCGGC